UACAGAGGGCGCGAGCGUUGUCCGGAAUCACUGGGCGUAAAGGGCGCGUAGGUGGCCACUAUAAGGCCGCGGUGAAAGUUCGGGGCUCAACCCUGAAUCGGCCGCGGCGACUGUAGGGCUUGGGCACUGUAGAGGCAGAUGGAAUUCCGGGUGUAGCGGUGGAAUGCGUAGAGAUCCGGAAGAACACCGGUGGCGAAGGCGGCCUUCUGGGACAGUGGCUGCGCAGGCGAAUGCGAAGCC
rnacentral:rRNA from 1 species